rnacentral:ncRNA from 1 species
AGUCUUCGGGGCAUGGUGAAAUUCCAUACCGGCGGUAAAGCCCGCAAGCGUAAAGCACGAUCUGGUGAAAUUCCGGAGCCGACAGUAAAGUCUGGAUGAGAGAAUG